rnacentral:rRNA from 1 species
UACGUAGGGUGCGAGCGUUGUCCGGAAUCACUGGGCGUAAAGGGCGCGUAGGCGGCUCAUGAAGGCUGUGGUGAAAGUCCGGGGCUCAACCUCGGAUCGGCCGUGGCGACUCGUGGGCUGGAGCACUGUAGAGGCGGGUGGAAUUCCGGGUGUAGCGGUGGAAUGCGUAGAGAUCCGGAGGAACACCGACGGCGUAGGCAGCGCCCUGGACGACACCUGACGCUGAGGCACGAAAGCUGGGGGAGCGAACAGG